CACGGGGGGAGCAAGCGUUGUUCGGAAUCACUGGGCGUAAAGGGCGUGUAGGCGGUCAAGUAAGUGGAAUGUGAAACGCCUCGGCUUACCCGAGGACCUGCAUCCCAAACUGCUUGGCUUGAGUAUGGGAGAGGAUGAGGGAAUUCCUGGUGUAGCGGUGAAAUGCGUAGAUAUCUGGAGGAACACCGGUGGCGAAGGCGGCAUCCUGGACCGAGAUUGACGCUGAGGCGCGAAAGCCAGGGGAGCAAACGGG
rnacentral:rRNA from 1 species